UUUAUCUAGUGAUCCCCCUUUUGGAGUAUUUGGCUAGCCCUGAUCCUUGGGUCUGCUUCUGCAGACGCUUUAGUGAGAAUGCCUCUGAAGUAAAAACUUUUAUCCCAUGGACACCAAACUGUUGAGAUGAAUUGAUUUUUGUGGAGGCAAUUUGGAAGAGCUGCAUACGGACUUAUAUUUUCUUUUGCUUCUCUGAGUACUCUGAAGACCUCCCACAUAUAGUGAAAUCUGCAUAGUCCUUCAGUGCCUCCCAGAUGUCUGAGAGGAGCGUGUCCUUGCCAAGGAAGGAGAACGGGGUGGCCAAUGAAUGUGGCUUGGGGUGGUGUUUCCACUCCAAAUAACCACAAGGCUCUUUGUCUAUGGUUCUCCAGGUGAAGUUGAAGGGAAGUAACGCUGUAGCCAUCAUCUACUCUCUGUUUGUUUAUCUACCCCUCUCCUGGUGUCAUGUCUUUCUUUUGUUGCAGGAAGCAAAGUUCUGGUAAGGGAAGUGCUGUGCACAUUGUGCAGUGUCUGUGCCCCUGUAUUAUCAGACCGUGUGGCAGCUUCUAACUAAAUUUUGGGUCCAAUAAUCAUAUUGGUGUCAUAGUAUCAGAAGAGAAAAAGGAAGAGAUCUAGCUAAGUCUUCUUGCCAAGCUGUCCCCUCCUCAAAUCUAUGUAAAGUCAGCAUGAUGGCAGCUGGUGGGAGUCAGAAGUGCACUUACUCAGAAUGUCUUUAGAUCUGAUUUCUUCUAUAUGGUGAGGAGGGCAAAAAAACAAAACAAAACACCACAUUGCAAGACAUUGAGAGAUAAUGAAACAGAGAAUUCUAUCAGGAGUUAAAGCUGUUUUAGGUUUUCAGCUCCAAAUGUGGGUUCUUUGUGGAAUUAUUUCCAGUAAUGACUCAUGGUGGGUGGUAAGUUGUGUAUUCAGCUCCCCAGUUAGUUGUCUUUGCGUGAGUUCCACUUUUAUCAAAUUAAAUAGAACAAAACUCAGGACAGAUGCUACCUGCUGAUCAGGAUGGUGUGGUACAUAUGCCACAGGAAUGCUGUGAUGAAACCACAAAGGCUGAAUAAUCCAGAUUGUGGGGUUUUUUUGUUGUUGUUGUUCCAGCUAGAGUAAAAAUUGACAUUGAUUUAAAUUCCAGCAUCAAACUAUCUUCAUGUCCUCCUGCACAACCUGAAAACAUUCGAAGUUGAUUGUAUUACAUCUUCAAAUUCCAAGGAGACUCGGUUAUUUGAAUAUACCAGCUUGACAUAAUCCAGAUCAUAGUAUCUCUGUCACCAGGAAACUUACUGGGGAGAAAAAGGAGAUAUGUAACAGAAACUCUUCUGUACAAAUGAGCAGUGAAAGAGAUGGCAAGUCAUUUUCCAUCUCAUAAUUCAACAUCUUUUUAGGGCACAGCAGAGUUGAUGUGUCAGCUCUCUGAACGUGUGCACUAGUUCUUCCCUUUUCAGUAUGGCUUUGUAAGUUCACACAUCUUCUGUGUCUCUUUGCUUUGAGAACAUAAAGGAAUUUCCUGACUCUGUGUGGUGCACAGCCUCUCCCAUGGAGGGAUCUGUGCACCUGCUUAUCCUGCUUCUAGUGCAGGGAUAUCAGGUGCUUUUUUCUUUAUCAGUGGAUGAUAAAGUGCAAGGACAGAAUGGCUAUGAUGUUACCAGUGGCUGUGAGUUAACUUUGCAAUAAGUUAAUAAUAUUUGGGUUUCAAAUCAGUCCAAGCUUCCCCCAAAAUGUAAAAUCUUCUCUAAACUUAUUUCACUGAAAUGCUUAAAGCAUCCAUCUCUCUGUCAGAACAGAUUCCCCUUUUCAUUGUGUAUACAUAUGCAAACUGUUUAAACCACACGUUAUGCCGAGGAUAUAGGAUGGAAAGAAAAGUGUGAAGACUGUUUUGCCCAUAUGUUGAGGAAAAAAUCUGCAGCACACAGUAAAGAAGCUGCUAACAGGAAAAGUAUCUGAAGUUAUGUUACAAGGUAAAAGACAAGACUGUGGCUGUGAAAACAAACUAAAACAAGAGAAGGAGAUAAAAUACCUUUU
rnacentral:lncRNA from 1 species